GACGAAUGCUGGCGGCGUGCUUAACACAUGCAAGUCGAACGGAAAGGCCCUGCUUUUGUGGGGUGCUCGAGUGGCGAACGGGUGAGUAACACGUGAGUAACCUGCCCUUGACUUUGGGAUAACUUCAGGAAACUGGGGCUAAUACCGGAUAGGAGCUCCUGCUGCAUGGUGGGGGUUGGAAAGUUUCGGCGGUUGGGGAUGGACUCGCGGCUUAUCAGCUUGUUGGUGGGGUAGUGGCUUACCAAGGCUUUGACGGGUAGCCGGCCUGAGAGGGUGACCGGCCACAUUGGGACUGAGAUACGGCCCAGACUCCUACGGGAGGCAGCAGUGGGGAAUAUUGCACAAUGGGCGGAAGCCUGAUGCAGCAACGCCGCGUGCGGGAUGACGGCCUUCGGGUUGUAAACCGCUUUCGCCUGUGACGAAGCGUGAGUAACGGUAAUGGGUAAAGAAGCACCGGCUAACUACGUG
rnacentral:rRNA from 1 species